UGGACAAAUUAUUGUAUUCGAUUGUAUUCACGGUGUGAAACAGGGGAUUACACUGCUUUUAAACGGAAAGUGAAUCAAUUAACAUAAUAGACUCCU
rfam:Nicotiana attenuata strain TT chromosome 3, whole genome shotgun sequence.